rnacentral:rRNA from 1 species
AGAGUUUGAUCCUGGCUCAGGACGAACGCUGGCGGCGCGCCUAACACAUGCAAGUCGAACGAGCGAGAGAGAGCUUGCUUUCUCGAGCGAGUGGCGAACGGGUGAGUAACGCGUGAGGAACCUGCCUCAAAGAGGGGGACAACAGUUGGAAACGACUGCUAAUACCGCAUAAGCCCACGGCUCGGCAUCGAGCAGAGGGAAAAGGAGCAAUCCGCUUUGAGAUGGCCUCGCGUCCGAUUAGCUAGUUGGUGAGGUAACGGCCCACCAAGGCGACGAUCGGUAGCCGGACUGAGAGGUUGAACGGCCACAUUGGGACUGAGACACGGCCCAGACUCCUACGGGAGGCAGCAGUGGGGAAUAUUGCACAAUGGGGGAAACCCUGAUGCAGCGACGCCGCGUGGAGGAAGAAGGUCUUCGGAUUGUAAACUCCUGUUGUUGAGGAAGAUAAUGACGGUACUCAACAAGGAAGUGACGGCUAACUACGUGCCAGCAGCCGCGGUAAAACGUAGGUCACAAGCGUUGUCCGGAAUUACUGGGUGUAAAGGGAGCGCAGGCGGGAGAACAAGUUGGAAGUGAAAUCCAUGGGCUCAACCCAUGAACUGCUUUCAAAACUGUUUUUCUUGAGUAGUGCAGAGGUAGGCGGAAUUCCCGGUGUAGCGGUGGAAUGCGUAGAUAUCGGGAGGAACACCAGUGGCGAAGGCGGCCUACUGGGCACCAACUGACGCUGAGGCUCGAAAGUGUGGGUAGCAAACAGGAUUAGAUACCCUGGUAGUCCACACCGUAAACGAUGAUUACUAGGUGUUGGAGGAUUGACCCCUUCAGUGCCGCAGUUAACACAAUAAGUAAUCCACCU